UAUGGCCACAUCAUAUUGAAACACCAGUUCUCGUAAGAUCACCAAAGUUAAGCAAUGUUGAGCCUGGUCAACAACUAGAUAGGUGAGCACUUGGGAAUAACAGGUAUUGUAAG